GGGUUGUGAGGUUAAGCGACUAAGCGUACACGGUGGAUGCCCUGGCAGUCAGAGGCGAUGAAGGGCGUGCUAAUCUGCGAUAAGCGCCGGUAAGGUGAUAUGAACCGUUAUAACCGGCGAUACCCGAAUGGGGAAACCCAGUGUGAUUCGUCACACUAUCAUUAACUGAAUCCAUAGGUUAAUGAGGCGAACCGGGGGAACUGAAACAUCUAAGUACCCCGAGGAAAAGAAAUCAACCGAGAUUCCCCCAGUAGCGGCGAGCGAACGGGGAGGAGCCCAGAGCCUGAAUCAGCAUGUGUGUUAGUGGAAGCGUCUGGAAAGGUGCGCGAUACAGGGUGACAGCCCCGUACACAAAAGCGCAUGUGCUGUGAGCUCGAUGAGUAGGGCGGGACACGUGGUAUCCUGUCUGAAUAUGGGGGGACCAUCCUCCAAGGCUAAAUACUCCUGACUGACCGAUAGUGAACCAGUACCGUGAGGGAAAGGCGAAAAGAACCCCGGCGAGGGGAGUGAAAAAGAACCUGAAACCGUGUACGUACAAGCAGUGGGAGCACAGGUUUACCUGUGUGACUGCGUACCUUUUGUAUAAUGGGUCAGCGACUUAUAUUCUGUAGCAAGGUUAACCGUAUAGGGGAGCCGUAGGGAAACCGAGUCUUAACCGGGCGUUAAGUUGCAGGGUAUAGACCCGAAACCCGGUGAUCUAGCCAUGGGCAGGUUGAAGGUUGGGUAACACUAACUGGAGGACCGAA
rnacentral:rRNA from 1 species